rnacentral:tRNA from 1 species
GGGGAUAUAGCUCAGUUGGUAGAGUACUUGCCUUGCAAGUAGAAGGAUCUGGGUUCAAUCUCCAGAACCACA